ACGAACGCUGGCGGCGUGCUUAACACAUGCAAGUCGCACGGAAAGGCCCUGCUUUUGUGGGGUGCUCGAGUGGCGAACGGGUGAGUAACACGUGAGUAACCUGCCCUUGACUUUGGGAUAACUUCAGGAAACUGGGGCUAAUACCGGAUAGGAGCUCCUGCUGCAUGGUGGGGGUUGGAAAGUUUCGGCGGUUGGGGAUGGACUCGCGGCUUAUCAGCUUGUUGGUGGGGUAGUGGCUUACCAAGGCUUUGACGGGUAGCCGGCCUGAGAGGGUGACCGGCCACAUUGGGACUGAGAUACGGCCCAGACUCCUACGGGAGGCAGCAGUGGGGAAUAUUGCACAAUGGGCGGAAACCUGAUGCAGCAACGCCGCGUGCGGGAUGACGGCCUUCGGGUUGUAAACCGCUUUCGCCUGUGACGAAGCGUGAGUGACGGUAAUGGGUAAAGAAGCACCGGCUAACUACGUG
rnacentral:rRNA from 1 species